UACGGAGGGUGCGAGCGUUGUCCGGAAUCACUGGGCGUAAAGGGCGCGUAGGCGGCCUGAUAAGUAGGGGGGUGAAAUCCUGCGGCUUAACCGCAGGGCUGCCUUCUAAACUGUCAGGCUAGAGCACAGUAGAGGCAGGUGGAAUCCCGGUGUAGCGGUGGAAUGCGUAGAGAUCCGGAAGAACACCGGUGGCGAAGGCGGCCUGCUGGGCAGUUUUGCUGACACUGAGGC
rnacentral:rRNA from 1 species